CUCGUGUUCUACUCCGGGAAGCCGCCCAAGGGGGAGAAGACCAACUGGAUCAUGCACGAGUACCGCCUCGCCGACGUCGAUCGCUCCGCCCGCAAGAACCGCAGCCUCCGGGUACGCCAACAUUGUCCUACACGUGCCCAACAAUUAGAUGAGGUUGUACGCUGCAAUAUACAGACCGCCAUGUACCUGAUCCGAUUUCUCGCUGGCGUUUCGUAAUGCAGCUUGAUGACUGGGUGCUGUGCCGGAUCUACCACAAGAAGGGGGAGGUGGGAAAGCAAGCCAACCCGGGCCGGAGGGCAGCCGGACCCAAGAAGACUCGGCCGGCUCAGCCG
rnacentral:lncRNA from 1 species